rnacentral:lncRNA from 1 species
CUAAAAAUAUCACCAAAUGUCGCAGUAAGUACCCUAUAUGUCAGAACAUUUCAAAGUUGUUGUAUUUAGACCCCUCCAUCAGAAAACUAGGAGAGAGAUAAAAGGAUGAGAGAGAAAAUAAGAAAAAUAAAAGAAAUGAGAGAGUGAAGAGAAAGGGAUGAGGAGAGAGACAGUGAAGAAAAAAUAAAGCAAAGAGAGAGAUGAGAGAGAAAGUGAUGAGAGAGAAAGUGAGGAGAGAGAAAGAUGAAAGUUUUAAACUUUGUGUCACGCUUUCGGGGGUGAAAACGGAUCGAAUAUGAUCGGAUAUUUGACAAAACUAUAUUCACAUCUAUACGUUUUUUUCCGGAUACGGAAAUAUGUCAUGUGCUAAAUAUUUAUUAUCACAUCCGCGAAAAAUGGAUUCGAAUAUGGUCGGAUAUUUUUCGGAUUCGAAUGUAGGUUGGAUAUGUAUAAUAUAUAUGCACAUAAACAAAAAAUUUACUUUAUUUUUCUACUUUAUUUCCUAACUAUACUUUCUCAUAAAUAAAAUAUAUAAUUUUAAUAUAUAAUUGAUUAUAAAAUAUAUGAAUAAUAUGAAAAAUCACCUCCAGUAUCUUGAUUGGCAAUGAAUUAGAGGAAAGAAAUUUGGGCGGAUUAGGUAGGAGAAAUUAGGCCGAACGGAUUAAAAAAUAUAAAGAAUAUAAAAAUAAUAAUACUAAAAGUCCGGAUAUCUACAUCUAUAUCCUUUUUUUUGGAUAUCAGAAAAAAUUUAACUUUCUAAAACCAUAUCCGUAUCCGUAUCCGACCAGAUCCGAAUAUUUUCUAUCCAGAUCCUGAUAUUAUCGAAUUCGGAUACGAAUAUUUUUGGACAAUAUCCGAUCCGUUUUCACCCUACACGCGUCUCAUAAUUCGAGUUAGAAAUUACAAUGAAUUAAAGUUGUAGAACUA